GUAAGGUUUGUGUGAAUCUGUGGGAGCGGACACAGAAGCUAAGUCCGAAGAGAGAGAUGUCGUAAGGCAAACGUGGUGUGGAUUUUUGCAUCUAAGUGUAUCUUUGAGGUCGACUACCCGUGGUCCUGAUAUGACUUAUUUGUGAUCUGCAAGAGAAGCCGAGGAACGCUCUGAAAGGAGAGGGAGAGAGAGGUUUCUGUCCGGAUGGACCCUGCUGUUUUCUUGCCCCCUGACUGUCUUCACUACUAAUGAACUAACUGCUAACUGCCCGUUUCUGAUUGCCCCACUAACAAACUCAUUGGACUCGUCAGGACAGUUGAGGGCAAGCAACAAAAGAGUCACAGUGUAGGAACUCAGCAGAGCAACAGGAAGAAACAAGAUUGAGUUUGCAGUUGGAUUUCAAGGAAGACCUGGUAUUGAUCCAUGAAUUUGUUUGUAGAACUGCCUUGGAGCAUUUGCAUCCAUGUACAUAAUAUAUGGACUGUUAACUUGGAGUGUUUUAGUUCUUUUUUUUUAAGUCCCUGAGCUUGAUUUUAACUGUAAAUAAAUCAAAU